UAAUCCCAGAUUGACUUAAUGAUGGUGAGAUCAGACUUUCUUUGAACUCAAAGAGGAAGGGUUAUGCAAAGCAUUGUGUCUUGCUUAUAUAAAGCAUUCUGCAGAAGUGUGUGAGGAUCUAAACAGCAAAACUAAGAAUGGAGCUGAGUACAAUGUUGAUCUGUGUUGUAGCUUACCUGACUUUGCAACAUGGAGUUCAGGCGGUGACUGAGUAUGAACCUGUUGCUAAACAUAUACUCAAGUUGACCCUGAAGCCACCAAUGCAGACAGACAUAUUCCUCUUCGGUGACGUGACCCUGCAGGCUGUUGUUUCUGGAAAUGAACACAAAGAAGUGGAAGAUGCCUCAGUAUCAUGCAAAGUGGAAAAUGAAGCUUUAACCUUAAAUAAAGCUGAAAUUCAAUCACAAAACAAUUCACAGUUUCAGAUAAUCUACAAUGUCACUGUUAAUCGAGAUAAAUGGUUUGCUGGUGAAAUGGUCACCUGUACUAUCAGUGAUAAAAACAGAAUGAAGAAAAAGAGUUUUAAUAAAGGAGAUUCAAAGAAACCCAGUGUUGUCCUUUAUGAACAACACAGUAAAAACACAAAGAGUUCACAUGUCUCUCUGUUAUGUGAGGUCAGCAGCCCUCAACUUGGUGAUGUUUAUAUUAUGUGGAAAGUAGAUAAUGGAAAAUAUGAGGAGGGUAAUACCAGUACUCCAAUCCAUCUGAAGGACUCGACAUCUGUCAUCAGCUUAUUUGAAGUGUCUGAUAAACAGUACAAAGAAUCUACAAUCUCUUGCGCAGUCGUGCAUGCCAACAUGGAGAAUACAAGAUCACCAUUAAUAAUAACAGCAAGCAAAAGUAAACCGUCAUGUCCUCCUUGCCCUGCUUGCUCUGCUGAUUAUAGUUACUGAUAUUUUCAAUGUGAUUAUGUUUUUAUCUCACUUAAAUAAUCUGACAUGCUUUUGUCCUGUUGCUCUUAUUAUGCUACAGUAUGUCCCUUUGAUCUUUUGUUAUGUGCUAAUCCCAAAUCAUGUGCUUACACAUAAAGGACAUCAUUCUAAAAUUAAAAUAUUUAUUCUUCUGCAGUGCCGGCUGGCGCAAACAAACUCAAAAUCAAACUUUUACUGUAGUAAUGCAGGGCUGUAAAUUGUCAUUUAUCAAGUGAUGAUGUAUCAUUACUGCUUAGAUAAAAUGCAGAAAAUUUUACUGUUGAAUUCAUCUGUUAAAGCAUGAAAUAAAUGUACUAUAAAUCUGUGAAUUUUAGUAUAAUGUGGGUUUAUUAUCAGUAAUGAAUUAAUAAAGGUAAUCAUU